rnacentral:rRNA from 1 species
AGAAUCAACGCUGGCGGCGUGCCUAACACAUGCAAGUCGAACGUGAAAGGGGCUUCGGCCCUGAGUAAAGUGGCAAACGGGUGAGUAACGCGUGGGUGAUCUGCCUUUGAGUGGGGGAUAACCUUCCGAAAGGAGGGCUAAUACCGCAUGACAUCCUGUUCUUGGAUGAACGGUGAUCGAAGCGUGGGGACCGCAAGGCCUGGCGCUUAGGAAGAGGACGCCCGCGUCCGAUUAGCUAGGUUGGGUGGGUAAUGGCUACACCGAAGGCGACGAUCCUUAGCUUGGUCUGAGAGGAUGAUCACGCCACACGUGGGACUGACGGACACCGGGCCCAGACCUCCGUACGGGAGCAAGCAAGGUAGGAAUAUUGGGACAAGGUGGGCGACGAACGCUGA